AUGGGUUUCCACUUGGAGAGAAUGCAUCCGCAAUGCCUGCCGCCAUACUCGUCGUCCACCACACUACCGGCUUGCUCACACAGAACUAGCAGGCCAAAGGAGAAAGCGAAGAAGAUAUUUGGUUUCUCCGUAUCUCUCAUCCUCAUCAAUCUGGCUUCUAUUAUGGAGCGUGCUGAUGAGAAUCUUCUUCCAGCAGUUUACAAGGAAGUCGGUGCAGCCUUCAAUGCUGGUCCCACUGACCUGGGAUACCUUAAUUUUGUAAUGAACUUUCUUAAGUCGAUAGCAUCGCCCUUGGCCGGCAUCCUUGCUCUUCACUAUGAUCGCCCAGCAGUGCUUGCAAUAGGAACUCAAGUUGCAUUCUGGAGAGCUAUAAACGGCCUUGGACUUGCCAUUGUAAUACCAGCACUUCAGUCGUUCAUAGCGGAUAGCUACAAAGAUGGUACACGCGGAGCUGGGUUUGGUUUGUUAAGCCUCAUCGGUGCAGUAGGAGGUAUAGGUGGUAGUAUUGUGGCAACACUCAUGGCUGGGAAGGACUACUGGGGAUUGCCCGGGUGGCGUCUUGCUUUUAUUAUGGUUGCGCUUGUCAGCUUCAUAAUUGGAAUUCUUGUGUACUUGUAUUCUACUGAUCCAAGAAGAAUCCCUGGGAAUCAUCUUCUAGAUGAUGACGACUACGAGAGCAAAGAUGUUCUUCCUCCGACCUCUAUCUGGAUGGAUUCUUGGGUAGCAAUGAAGAGUGUCAUGAAAGUGAAGACAUUUCAGAUCAUUGUGUUGCAGGGGAUAAUUGGCUCAUUGCCCUGGACCGCAAUAGUUUUCUUCACCAUGUGGUUUGAACUCAUUGGUUUUGACAAUAGGAGUUCUGCAGCAUUGAACAGCCUAUUCGCCAUUGGGUGUGCCAGUGGAGCUCUCCUUGGUGGUGUACUAGCAGAUCGCCUGUCACGGCACUAUCCUGAUUCUGCACGCAUCAUGUGCGCUCAGUUUAGCGCCUUCAUGGGCAUUCCUUUCUCAUGGAUCCUCCUUACGGUCAUUCCUCAGUCAACUGACUACUGGUUUGCCUACGCCGUCACACUCUUCUUUAUGGGUAUCACCAUCAGCUGGUGUGCUACUUCGGCAAACAAUCCCAUGUUCGCGGAGGUAGUCCCUCCCAAGUACCGCACCAUGAUCUACGCCUUCGACCGGGCUUUUGAGGGCUCGUUCGCCUCACUGGCCGCUCCUGCUGUUGGCUUGGUCACUGAGAAGAUAUAUGGCUAUGACGCCAAGACUGUAAACAUCGCCAACGGAUCAGCACAAGGGGCGUAUGCACUGUCGAGAGGGCUACUAACCAUGAUGAUCCUUCCUUUUGGUAUCUGUGUCCUGUUCUACAGCCCUUUGUACCUUGUGUUCAAGCACGACAGAGACAAUGCCAAGGUAGCCAGAUUCAAGGACCAGGAGCUAAUCUGA
rnacentral:rRNA from 1 species